GGGUGAGUAACACGUAUGCAACCUGGCCGUGACAGAUGGAUAACCGGGAGAAAUCCCGCCUAAUACAACAUAAUGCCGGGAGGGGACAUCCCCUGCCGGCCAAAGGGGGCGACCCCGGUCACGGAUGGGCAUGCGGCGCAUUAGGUAGUUGGUGGGGCAACGGCCCACCAAGCCGACGAUGCGUAGGGGUUCUGAGAGGAAGGUCCCCCACAUUGGAACUGAGACACGGUCCAAACUCCUACGGGAGGCAGCAGUGAGGAAUAUUGGUCAAUGGCCGGAAGGCUGAACCAGCCAAGUCGCGUGAGGGAAUAAGGCCCUACGGGUCGUAAACCUCUUUUGCCAGGGAGCAAUGCCGUCCACGUGUGGACGGAAGGAGAGUACCUGGAGAAAAAGCAUCGGCUAACUCCGUGCCAGCAGCCGCGGUAAUACGGAGGAUGCGAGCGUUAUCCGGAUUUAUUGGGUUUAAAGGGUGCGUAGGCGGCCUGCCAAGUCAGCGGUAAAAUUGCGGGGCUCAACCCCGUACAGCCGUUGAAACUGCCGGGCUCGAGUGGGCGAGAAGUAUGCGGAAUGCGUGGUGUAGCGGUGAAAUGCAUAGAUAUCACGCAGAACCCCGAUUGCGAAGGCAGCAUACCGGCGCCCGACUGACGCUGAGGCACGAAAGUGCGGGGAUCAAACAGGAUUAGAUACCCUGGUAGUCCGCACAGUAAACGAU
rnacentral:rRNA from 1 species